GGGGGCAUAGCUCAAGUGGUAGAGUGCAUGCUUUGUGUGCACAAGGUCCUGGGUUCAAUCCCUGGUGCCUCCA
rfam:Camelus ferus unplaced genomic scaffold scaffold765, whole genome shotgun sequence.